AUCAGCGUUCAUCCUCUAGACAGCCUGACUUCUUAAGUGAACGUCCACGUUUACACUAGAGCAGCAGGCACUUCCUGCUGGCUCCUUCCAGACAAGGAGCCUCUGUUCGCCUUGGGACUGGGGAGCAAACAGCCUCUGACUGUCCCAGCUGGGUAGGCUGGAACUUGGAUGUGCAUUGGCAGGUCUGCAUUGGCAGACCAGAUGUCACCAUACAGACAACAAUAUCCUACAGGACAGAAAAGCUUGAAAGUAAAAGAAACUUUGGUGUUUGAAUAAACCACACAUUUGUCCUGGACAACCUGCCUAUCGUUGAACUGUUACAUGAGAGAAAAAGAGAUUUCUCUCUUAUUUGAACAAUUGCAUUUUCAAGUCUUUUUGUUACAGCAGCAUAACUGAUACCCUAACCCUGACAAAUACAUUUUUAAACAAAAGGAGGAAUGCUACUAUCGUACUCUAUGCUGGUCCAGUCUUACUUGGGGUGCAGUAUUCUCAUCUGUGAAUCACAUUUCAAGGGGCCUAAAGACAAAGUAGAAGUGUUCAGAUAACAGCAACAUGAUUGGUGAGAAAUUCAAAGUUGAAGAAACUGGAAGAGCAGAUUUAGAGUAAGUAGGAGUGCCACUUUCAAAUGUCUGAGGAACUGGCCUGUGAAAGAAUGAUUCACUUUGUUCUGUGUAGUUUCAGUAGAUAGAAGUAUGGUUCAACGGGAAAACUGAUUUUGCUGAAGAGAAAGAUUUCUGGCUGUCAGGUCUGCAUAGACAUUGGAGGCACUGAGUUCCCUGCUCAUGGAGAUAUUUUUCACAGAGCCUGGAUAAUCAUUUGGCUGGAUUUGUAACAACUGUGUAUCAUACAGCAUGAAAAUGCAUUUUCUAGCUUCCCUUGAAGUGAAAUGUGAGCAAAAAUGAUGCCAGCCACUCCCAGACCGGCCCAUAGAAACCUCCCAUAUUCUUUCUUCUUCUGCUGCUGGAUAUUGACACAGGGGAUGACUUUGAAAGCUGAGUAUUGAAGAUGGCAGAAGCUGUCUUUCAGCCUUGGUCCCUGAACAACAUGUUGAGCAGAUCCCGUGGUAAUCUGGAACUGCCCUGGACUGUAGGAAUCAACUUCUUUAUACAACAAUGGCAGAGAAGUUCUACAAUAUGGAGUCCUGUGAUAAAAGAUCAUUCUCCAUAAUGUGGGUGUCCUCAUCCAAUCAGUUGAAAGCCUGAAAAGAACAAAAAGCAGAUCUUUCUUGAGCAAGAAGGAUUCUCCAACAGACUGCCUUCAGACUUCAUCUGCAGCAUCGGCUCUUCCUGGUUCUGCAGUAAACUGUUCCUGGACUUGACUACAGCUCUUUCUCGAGUCUCCAGCCUGCUGGCUUCGUCUAUGAGAUUUUGUACUCACCAGGCAUCCACAAGCACAUGAGCCAAU
rnacentral:lncRNA from 10 species